CACGAACGCUGGCGGCAGGCUUAACACAUGCAAGUCGAGCGCCCCGCAAGGGUAGCGGCAGACGGGUGAGUAACGCGUGGGAAUCUACCCAUCUCUACGGAAUAACGCAUGGAAACGUGUGCUAAUACCGUAUACGUCCUUCGGGAGAAAGAUUUAUCGGAGAUGGAUGAGCCCGCGUUGGGUUAGCUAGUUGUGGGGGUAAAGGCCUACCAAGGCGACGAUCCAUAGCUGGUCUGAGAGGAUGAUCAGCCACACUGGGACUGAGACACGGCACGGACACCUACGGAGGGCAGCAGUGGGGAAUAUUGGAAAAUGGGCGCAAGCCUGAUCCAGCCAUGCCGCGUGAGUGAUGAAGGCCCUAGGGUUGUAAAGCUCUUUCACCGGUGAAGAUAAUGACGGUAACCGGAGAAGAAGCCCCGGCUAACUUCGUGCCAGCCGCCGCAGUAA
rnacentral:rRNA from 1 species